AUUUUAGAAUAAAUUAGCACCUCAAUUUGCUAAGGUGACAGAGGACCUUCUCACCUUAAGGGCGCCUAACGCUUUUAACAACACUGGAUUUUAGGACUAGGUUAAAAAACAGACGCAAUACUGGCGUUUUUGGAAUUGAAAUGAGUUCAGCAGAAGACAAAGAUGAUGCCAUGUUGACCUUUUUUUCCUGUGCUCUUGCUUCAUCAUGCAUGAUUACAUGCUCUGUUCACUGUGCCAAUUUGUGUUUAAAUUUUAAUGAGUUAGGGUGUUUGAUAGGUUAAAAAAAUAGUUCAUAUGUUAAAUAAGUCAAUCCCAAAUAGUACAGAGGUGCAGAUAUGUAUUUGGCCAUUUUAAAUUCUACAUUCUAUAGUUACUAGGCAAAAAGCUUCAACAAGUUUUUAGCAUGAGAAGACAUCCUAUAUCGAAUUCUGCAAAGCAUCCAAAGAAAUUCCAUACAAACUACACAGUUUCCUAAUUUAAAACACACAAUACAACUUCACACGAUGGUACAUGAUGAGGAAAGAAGCUAUUGAAACUAAAUCCAUAUUCAAGAAAUCUUAAUGUAUAAUUACCAAAAAGCAGCAAUAAAUGAUAGCCAUCUAUAAGUAAUAUUCACACAACUGAUGAUGCUACUUUGGAGAAAGGCAAGAAACGCAGAAAAUGAGGGAAAAAAAAAAUCAGAGGAACAAAAACAGAUUCUAGUAUAAAAACAAUCUUGAUACCCAAAAGAAGGAAUCAUAGCCACCAGCACCAUUGAAAGAGUACCAAACCCCAGAAAAACAAAAACAUUCCCGUUUCACCAAAGCCAAAUAGCCAAUCACAACAUCUAUUCCAACCACGACACUGAAUAAAUUGGCGAAUUAGAAAGGCACCUUUUCAAACGAGCUCUUAUUUAGUGACAAAAUCACCAAAAUGAACGGUGGCCAUUAGAAGGACCCAAUCACCGUAACCAAUCACAGAGUCGAAACAACAAAAAAGGAAAAUAUUAAGUUCGAUAAAAAUCGCAAAAAGAAGGACCUAGCAACUAACUAGCUGCAAAUUACGAUAUAAACCUGAAAACCCACCUAGAGAACUGCAUAAUCGGCCAGUAAUAAAACAUCAAAACCAAAAUCGAUCUACUCCAUUGAACGCAAACUAAUCUUUACGAACGCAGAAAGUUCAAGAAAAUCGCAGAUCAGCUAACCUGAGAAGCACAUCAAACAUAGAU
rnacentral:misc_RNA from 1 species